UAUUACUUAAUUUGAACCAAGUAGACAAGAAAGAAGAUAUAGUAGUACAAGGAAAUGGAAUCCAAAAAACAUUAGCCAACACCAAACCAAAUAACAAAGUGUCUGGACCUGAUGGUAUUCCAGCUAGAUUACUCAUAGAACUAAGCAAUGCGCUAGCCCCAGUGUUCAAAAUACUCUUUUCAGGCAUCGCUCAACCAGGGCAGAGUACCAAAGGACUGGAAAGAAGCUAAUGUCACACACUCACACACACCCACCCACACACACCCACCCACACACACACACCCACACACACACACCUUUAUUUAAAAAAAGGGGAAAAAAUCUGACCCAGGAAACUACAGACCAGUAUCACUUACCAGCAUCACAUGUAAAAUCCUAGAACACAUAAUAUGUAGCAACAUCAUAAACCACUUAGACAGACAUAAUGUCCUCACCCAUAGCAACAUGGCUUUAGGAACUAUAGAUCAUGUGGAACACAACUAAUAGGACUAAUUGACGAUUUUUCAAAAGGUUUAGAUAAUAGUGAACAAAUAGAUGCUAUCUUACUAGAUUUGACGAAGGCUUUUGACAAAGUUCACCACCAUAGUUUGCUUGAAAAAUUAAAUUAAAAUAUUUCGGCAUUAAUGGUCCAUUGCAUCAGUGGAUUAAAGAUUUCCUGAUAGGGAGAGAACAAACUGUAAUAAUAAAAGGCUCUAAAUCAACACCGAUAACAGUAAACUCAGGUGUAACUCGAGGAACAGUCUUAGGUCCACUACUAUUAUUAAUUUACAUAAAUGAUUUACCAAAUUGCAUUACUUCAGGAACAAAAGUCAGAUUAUUUGCAGAUGACUGCAUAAUAUAUAGAACAAUAAAAACAACACAAGACACAGAUAUUUUACAAAGAGAAUUAGAUGAGUUACAGAAAUGGGAAUCAAAUUGGAGCAUGUCUUUCCACCCAGAAAAAUGUCAGCUGUUAAGAGUAACAAAAAAAAAAAAAAAAAAAAAAAAACUAAAACAAAUUUAUUCCACUUAUCUUAUUCAUGGCAAACCAGUAACACAGACUAAAAAUGCAAAAUAUCUAAUAAAUGAGAAACUGUCAUGGAAUCCACAUACUGAUGAAACUAUAAUAAAAAAAAAAAAAUCAAACAAAGCAUUAGGGUUUAUUAAAAGCAAUUUCUAUAAAUCAAAUAAGAACAUAACACUAAAAUGUUAUUUAACCUUGGGUAGGCCAAUAAUAGAAUAUGCAUCCUCUGUUUGGGACCCCCUCAACUGAAGAAAACAUUAAUAAAACAUUACUAAACUGGAACAGACACAAAAUAGAGAAGUGAGAUAUUCAUAUUUGACUAGAGUAACACCUUUAGUAAAAUCACUAAAUUUAGAAAGCCUUCAGGACAGAAGACUCGAAAAGUAAAGUAGCAAUUAUACAUUAAAACACUGAACCAUAAUCUUCAAAUACAAAAACAAAAUUUAAUAACAUACUCUGAAAGACACAAAGAUAAAGGCACAUUCCUCGUCCCAUAUGCUAGGACAAAUUUGUACAAAUACUCCUUCUUCCCUAGUGCUAUUAGAGCAAGGAAUGGGUUGCCUGAGCUAGCCAGGAAAACCUGUGACUUGGCAGAAUUUAAGUCAUUGGUUAAUAUGCAUGACUUAAUGCAUGACGAGUAGGAUGUAAUCAUCUUCCUUUUUUGAAGUAACGUCUGUAUUACCUAUAUAAGAUCAGAUCAGUCCUUCUAUAAGACAAACAACUAACUGACAUAGUCCUAACAUUUGUCUGGUCUCUUUUAAGUCUUAUCAGUGAGCCUUGAUAACAUCUAUGAAACUAAUUUAUAUCACUCACACACACACACACACACACACAACACUGUGACAGGUUGUAAUCUGGUUAAGACUGGGGUUUUCAAUCUCUUUUUCUUAUGUUGCCCCUGAGUCCAUCUAAAAUUAAAAUGGGUACCUGACUUUAGUUAGAGAAACUAGAUGCUGUUUGUCAUUGUGAUGGGCACAUGACACCCUGCUACUAUUUAUUUCUGUACACAUAAAGGCCAAGGGCUUAGGGGUUUGCAUUUUGUUCAAAAUUUUUUUAAAAAAAUGUUCCAUAUGGUCUAUAUUUUCUUGAAAAAGCUAAUUAGAUGUUUAAGUAUUUAGUGAUUGGAUGAACAAUUCCAUUGAUGACUAUGGCAUGUCAAGCAAUGAAAGGCAAUGUUAAAUUGAGGAUUUGUACUGAUAACUACAUCAUGGUGGAUAUUAAAUGUGGAGAUAGCUUGGCCUUUGACCAACUACUAACAUGGAAAUAUUUUGUAUAAAAUGUCAAUUUGAAGGAAAAAUGAUUGAAAAUAGCUUGGCCCUGAACCAACUUAACAGUAAAAUUACUGAUUUGGCAGCUAGAUUGUAUCACCUGAAACAGAAGUAAAUUUUCUUUUUGUAAUGAAUAUUGAAAAGUAAUAAUAUGAGGAAAUAUGAAUGUGGAGAUAGCUUGGCCUUUGAUCAACUAAUGGGAAGAAGCUAUUGAAUAAUUGCAUGUGUAUGGUCAUCAGUUCAAUUGUUUAUCCAAGUCUAAAAAGUGUUUCUAUUUCAUUGUAUUUAAAGACCAAAGCCGUAGUGCAGUGGAAAAGUUGUUAACCGCAUUACUUCAAAUAAUUGGGUCCUAGGUUCUGAUCUCGGUCAAGACUGUGAUGUUCAAUUUCUCUUUUUCAGGGCGCUUCUAGUCCCAUCUUAUUUUAUUGGGUACUUGACUUUAGUUGGACAAAGUAAAGUAUGUUUGUCAUUGUGCUGGGCACAUAACACGCUGCUACUUUUUAAUUCAACAGGCAUAGUGCCAUUAAAAGAUGAACAUAACAUAAUACAUAAUGAUAAUGAAAACUAAAGCAAACAUCCUAAACAAAUACUUUGCAUCAGCUUUCUCAGCCCCAGGAGACAAAGACAUAUUACUUAAUUUGAACCAAGUAGACAAGAAAGAAGAUAUAGUAGUACAAGGAAAUGGAAUCCAAAAAACAUUAGCCAACACCAAACCAAAUAACAAAGUGUCUGGACCUGAUGGUAUUCCAGCUAGAUUACUCAUAGAACUAAGCAAUGCGCUAGCCCCAGUGUUCAAAAUACUCUUUUCAGGCAUCGCUCAACCAGGGCAGAGUACCAAAGGACUGGAAAGAAGCUAAUGUCACACACUCACACACACCCACCCACACACACACACCCACACACACACACCUUUAUUUAAAAAAAGGGGAAAAAAUCUGACCCAGGAAACUACAGACCAGUAUCACUUACCAGCAUCACAUGUAAAAUCCUAGAACACAUAAUAUGUAGCAACAUCAUAAACCACUUAGACAGACAUAAUGUCCUCACCCAUAGCAACAUGGCUUUAGGAACUAUAGAUCAUGUGGAACACAACUAAUAGGACUAAUUGACGAUUUUUCAAAAGGUUUAGAUAAUAGUGAACAAAUAGAUGCUAUCUUACAAGAUUUGACGAAGGCUUUUGACAAAGUUCACCACCAUAGUUUGCUUGAAAAAUUAAAUUAAAAUAUUUCGGCAUUAAUGGUCCAUUGCAUCAGUGGAUUAAAGAUUUCCUGAUAGGGAGAGAACAAACUGUAAUAAUAAAAGGCUCUAAAUCAACACCGAUAACAGUAAACUCAGGUGUAACUCGAGGAACAGUCUUAGGUCCACUACUAUUAUUAAUUUACAUAAAUAGGUCCACUACUAUUAUUAAUUUACAUAAAUGAUUUACCAAAUUGCAUUACUUCAGGAACAAAAGUCAGAUUAUUUGCAGAUGACUGCAUAAUAUAUAGAACAAUAAAAACAACACAAGACACAGAUAUUUUACAAAGAGAAUUAGAUGAGUUACAGAAAUGGGAAUCAAAUUGGAGCAUGUCUUUCCACCCAGAAAAAUGUCAGCUGUUAAGAGUAACAAAAAAAAAAAAAAAAAAAAAACUAAAACAAAUUUAUUCCACUUAUCUUAUUCAUGGCAAACCAGUAACACAGACUAAAAAUGCAAAAUAUCUAAUAAAUGAGAAACUGUCAUGGAAUCCACAUACUGAUGAAACUAUAAUAAAAAAAAAAAAUCAAACAAAGCAUUAGGGUUUAUUAAAAGCAAUUUCUAUAAAUCAAAUAAGAACAUAACACUAAAAUGUUAUUUAACCUUGGGUAGGCCAAUAAUAGAAUAUGCAUCCUCCGUUUGGGACCCCCUCAACUGAAGAAAACAUUAAUAAAACAUUACUAAACUGGAACAGACACAAAAUAGAGAAGUGAGAUAUUCAUAUUUGACUAGAGUAACACCUUUAGUAAAAUCACUAAAUUUAGAAAGCCUUCAGGACAGAAGACUCGAAAAGUAAAGUAGCAAUUAUACAUUAAAACACUGAACCAUAAUCUUCAAAUACAAAAACAAAAUUUAAUAACAUACUCUGAAAGACACAAAGAUAAAGGCACAUUCCUCGUCCCAUAUGCUAGGACAAAUUUGUACAAAUACUCCUUCUUCCCUAGUGCUAUUAGAGCAAGGAAUGGGUUGCCUGAGCUAGCCAGGAAAACCUGUGACUUGGCAGAAUUUAAGUCAUUGGUUAAUAUGCAUGACUAAAUGCAUGACGAGUAGGAUGUAAUCAUCUUCCUUUUUUGAAGUAACGUCUGUAUUACCUAUAUAAGAUCAGAUCAGUCCUUCUAUAAGACAAACAACUAACUGACAUAGUCCUAACAUUUGUCUGGUCUCUUUUAAGUCUUAUCAGUGAGCCUUGAUAACAUCUAUGAAACUAAUUUAUAUCACUCACACACACACACACACACACACACAACACUGUGACAGGUUGUAAUCUGGUUAAGACUGGGGUUUUCAAUCUCUUUUUCUUAUGUUGCCCCUGAGUCCAUCUAAAAUUAAAAUGGGUACCUGACUUUAGUUAGAGAAACUAGAUGCUGUUUGUCAUUGUGAUGGGCACAUGACACCCUGCUACUAUUUAUUUCUGUACACAUAAAGGCCAAGGGCUUAGGGGUUUGCAUUUUGUUCAAAAAUUUAAAAAAAAAAUGUUCCAUAUGGUCUAUAUUUUCUUGAAAAAGCUAAUUAGAUGUUUAAGUAUUUAGUGAUUGGAUGAACAAUUCCAUUGAUGACUAUGGCAUGUCAAGCAAUGAAAGGCAAUGUUAAAUUGAGGAUUUGUACUGGUAACUACAUCAUGGUGGAUAUUAAAUGCGGAGAUAGCUUGGCCUUUGACCAACUACUAACAUGGAAAUAUUUUGUAUAAAAUGUCAAUUUGAAGGAAAAAUGAUUGAAAAUAGCUUGGCCCUGAACCAACUUAACAGUAAAAUUACUGAUUUGGCAGCUAGAUUGUAUCACCUGAAACAGAAGUAAAUUUUCUUUUUGUAAUGAAUAUUGAAAAGUAAUAAUAUGAGGAAAUAUGAAUGUGGAGAUAGCUUGGCCUUUGAUCAACUAAUGGGAAGAAGCUAUUGAAUAAUUGCAUGUGUAUGGUCAUCAGUUCAAUUGUUUAUCCAAGUCUAAAAAGUGUUUCUAUUUCAUUGUAUUUAAAGACCAAAGCCGUAGUGCAGUGGAAAAGUUGUUAACCGCAUUACUUCAAAUAAUUGGGUCCUAGGUUCUGAUCUCGGUCAAGACUGUGAUGUUCAAUUUCUCUUUUUCAGGGCGCUUCUAGUCCCAUCUUAUUUUAUUGGGUACUUGACUUUAGUUGGACAAAGUAAAGUAUGUUUGUCAUUGUGCUGGGCACAUAACACGCUGCUACUUUUUAAUUCAACAGGCAUAGUGCCAUUAAAAAAAGAUGAACAUAACAUAAUACAUAAUGAUAAUGAAAACUAAAGCAAACAUCCUAAACAAAUACUUUGCAUCAGCUUUCUCAGCCCCAGGAGACAAAGACAUAUUACUUAAUUUGAACCAAGUAGAUAACAAAGAAGAUACAGUAGUACAAGGAAAUGGAAUCCAAAAAGCAUUAGCCAACACCAAACCAAAUAACAAAGUGUAUGGACCUGAUGGUAUUCCAGCUAGAUUACUCAUAGAACUAAGCAAUGUGCUAGCCCCAGUGUUCAAAAUACUCUUUUCAGGCAUCACUCAACCAGGGCAGAGUACCAAAGGACUGAAAAGAAGCUAAUGUCACACACCCACCCACACACACACACCCACACCCACCUCUAUUUAAAAAAAGGGGAAAAAAUCUGACCCAGGAAACUACAGACCAGUAUCACUUACCAGCAUCACAUGUAAAAUCCUAGAACACAUAAUAUGUAGCAACAUCAUAAACCACUUAGACAGACAUAAUGUCCUCACCCCAUAGCAACAUGGUUUUAGGAACUAUAGAUUAUGUGGAACACAACUAAUAGGACUAAUUGACGAUUUUUCAAAAGGUUUAGAUAAUAGUGAACAAAUAGAUGCUAUCUUACUAGAUUUGACGAAGGCUUUUGACAAAGUUCACCACCAUAGUUUGCUUGAAAAAUUAAAUUAAAAUAUUUCGGCAUUAAUGGUCCAUUGCAUCAGUGGAUUAAAGAUUUCCUGAUAGGGAGAGAACAAACUGUAAUAAUAAAAGGCUCUAAAUCAACACCGAUAACAGUAAACUCAGGUGUACCUUGAGGAACAGUCUUAGGUCCACUACUAUUAUUAAUUUACAUAAAUGAUUUACCAAAUUGCAUUACUUCAGGAACAAAAGUCAGAUUAUUUGCAGAUGACUGCAUAAUAUAUAGAACAAUAAAAACAACACAAGACACAGAUAUUUUACAAAGAGAAUUAGAUGAGUUACAGAAAUGGGAAUCAAAUUGGAGCAUGUCUUUCCACCCAGAAAAAUGUCAGCUGUUAAGAGUAACAAAAAAAAAAAAAAAAAAAAAAAAACUAAAACAAA